rnacentral:rRNA from 1 species
AUUGAACGCUGGCGGCAUGCCUUACACAUGCAAGUCGAACGGCAGCACGGACUUCGGUCUGGUGGCGAGUGGCGAACGGGUGAGUAAUGUAUCGGAACGUACUUUUCAGUGGGGGAUAACGUAGCGAAAGUUACGCUAAUACCGCAUAUUCUGUGAGCAGGAAAGCAGGGGAUCGAAAGACCUUGCGCUGAUUGAGCGGCCGAUAUCAGAUUAGCUAGUUGGUGGGGUAAAGGCCUACCAAGGCGACGAUCUGUAGCGGGUCUGAGAGGAUGAUCCGCCACACUGGAACUGAGACACGGUCCAGACUCCUACGGGAGGCAGCAGUGGGGAAUUUUGGACAAUGGGGGCAACCCUGAUCCAGCCAUGCCGCGUGAGUGAAGAAGGCCUUCGGGUUGUAAAGCUCUUUCGGCCGGGAAGAAAUCGCAUAGGCUAAUACCCUGUGUGGAUGACGGUACCGGAAUAAGAAGCACCGGCUAACUACGUG